rnacentral:miRNA from 1 species
ACAAUGUAGAUAUUUAAGCAGGAAAUAGAAAUAGAAAUAGAAAUUUAUAUGUAAAUUCUAUGUAAAUUUAUAUGUAAAUUUCUAUUUCCUGCUUAAAUAUCUACAUUGC